CCGCCCGCCCCCUCGCCGCCCGCCAGGCGCGGCCGCACCGCCGACAGGCACAGGCGAGUCAGCGGCCGGCUGGCCACGAAGGCCCUCGUGGCGAAGGCGGAGGGCGCCGGCGCCGCCGGCAGCGCCAACAGGAACCUGGAGUACGGAGCCGACGCCCCGAAGACGCCCAAAGUGAGCGCCAGCAUACUUCGGCAUAAGCGCUCGUGAAGAAGAUAACGCCGACGUAGUGGAGAUCCUGGACAAACUGCAUCCAAGCAUGAAGAAGCUAUAAGGGGACGUCUACGUGAGCGAGAUCAUCGGCCGACACCCGGAGAGGCCGAGGAAAAUCGUAGUUGCACAGGAAUACAGGAGAGGUCCGAAGCUGUACAGUGGUGCGCCUCCUCUGUAUUAUCUGAUGAUAGUGAUGAUCAAGCUUGCAUCGCAGUUGUAGAGCCGUCCAUUGCGCAAACUCCACAAUGACCAGUGGACGCUUCCUAUGUACUCUCCGCUGAUCAGUCCUGCAUCACGGUGGCAAAGACAUCUGUUGAGCAAAUGUCACCAGGUAACAAUAACUGGUCGCCUCGUCCACGAUCUGUGAUGAUCGGGACUGCAUCACUACUCCAGGGCCAUCAGAUGAUUUAACUGCAGCUAAUCCAGGUAAGCAAGAUCAUAUAAUAGAGUCAAACAAAGUUAAGUUUGUAGCGAUGUUGAUAGCACAGACUGUGCAAGUGAUAUUUAUAUGUCAAACUGUUUGAUAUUUAAAAUAACACUUGCACAAUCUAUGCUAUCAAAAUCGCUUCCAACUUAGCUCUUGAUCGGACUGUAAUAUAUACCGUGGGCCAAUUAAACCCGCCAGAUUUUAAAGGUGUAUUGUUGACUGCAUUUAGAGACUAAAAUGACACACAGUUUCCUGAAAUCGAUCUUGUUUUAUAGAGCUGUACCGCUGCCAUUAUAUGACUUGGUUUAGACAUACCUACUGACAAAUAUUAAUAACUAGCAAUUUUUUUUCUGUAACUUAAAAAAAUAUACUUAUUCGUUUAAAUGUUUUUUUUUUUUAACAAAGUGUAAAAAUAAAUAACGUGUCGUGUGAAGAAAACGCGAAAUAAAAUUGUUUUACGGUAAAUAUUUUUUUUAGCGUAUUUGGCCAAAACUCAUAAAAAUUUUUUUGCUCCUUAUGACCUUAGGAAUGGCUGGUUAAAAUCUUUCGGGUUUAAUUGGCCUACGGUGUAUAUCUUGAAAGUUUAUAUUCCAAUAACUAUUAUGUUGUAGGCGAUCAGUUUUCAUAAUAAAUGUAACUGGAAACAUACAAUCUUGUGUAACAAAAUAUUCGGCGCUUCAACCGAGAACCCUCAAAUACAAAUAAUUUAUUUAUAACGCUGUUAGAUGUCAUGGUGGUUUUCAUAUAAUUAGGUACAUAAAACCACAAACCACUAUUUUUUUUUAUAGAACGACGGAGGCAAGCAAGCAUACGGCCCGCCUGAUGGUAAGCAAUCACCGUAGCCUAUGUACGCCUGCAUCUCCAGAGGUGUUACAUGCGCGUUGCCGACCCUUUAAAAAUCUGUUCGUGUUUAAAAAUCGUUAUUCGUGGCAUAAUCUAAUAAUAACACUACUUUAAUGGAUAAUACCGCGUACUCUCUCUAACUCUGUGAUAAAACAACGCAACCUAAUUGUGUUUGGGUUUAUUCGAAUAGCGUUGGCCGCUCGACGUAUUUAGCAGAGAGUGCUAGCAUAGCUUGCCCUGUUAAUCCCUAGAAUUGUGUCAAAUUCUUGUUUUCUAAUGGAAUUUUAUGAAUUCGAUGGAUUAAGACAAAUCUCAUAGAACUAAAAGAGACUGGAAAGCUACGAGGGCGCCAUCCAUGCAAACCUUUGGAAUUUGCCG